rnacentral:rRNA from 1 species
GACGAACGCUGGCGGCGUGCUUAACACAUGCAAGUCGAGCGGUAAGGCCCUUUCGGGGGUACACGAGCGGCGAACGGGUGAGUAACACGUGGGUGACCUGCCCUCAGCUCUGGGAUAAGCCCGGGAAACUGGGUCUAAUACCGGAUAUGACUCCAUGACGCAUGUUGUGGGGUGGAAAGCCUUGUGCGGCUGAGGAUGGGCCCGCGGCCUAUCAGCUUGUUGGUGGGGUGAUGGCCACCAAGGCGACGACGGGUAGCCGGCCUGAGAGGGCGACCGGCCACACUGGGACUGAGAUACGGCCCAGACUCCUACGGGAGGCAGCAGUGGGGAAUCUUGCGCAAUGGGCGAAAGCCUGACGCAGCGACGCCGCGUGAGGGAUGACGGCCUCG